AAUUCUCAAAAGCCUUUUUCUGCUUUUUCUGGAAAGGGUUUUUGGACUUGGAGGUUCAAUGCUUGCUUUUAAAGUGAGCUCCUCUCAAAUAAAUUAGCGGGGUCUGCUUUGCCGAUCCUUGACGUGAUAAGAUGUCUCUACGUUUUGGAUCUGGCACUGUCCCUUUGGACACCUGCUCCUAACCGUCCCACGGACAACGAUGGUGCUCUGGUCUUUGCUGCCUACACUGGCGGGGGAGGCUGGACCCACGAAAGAAAA
rnacentral:misc_RNA from 1 species